AAAAAUUAGCUGGGCAUGGUGGUGCGUGCCUGUAAUCCCAGCUACUCAGGAGGCUGAGGCAGGAGAAUUGCCUGAACCCAGGAGGCGGAGGUCAUGGUGAGUCGAGUUGGUGCCACUGCACUCCAGCCUGGGCAACACAGAGAGACUCUGCCUCAAAAAAAGAAAAAAAAAAACAGAA